rnacentral:tRNA from 1 species
GGGUGUGUAGCUCAGUUGGUUAGAGCGCGACACUGAUAAUGUCGAGGUCGGCAGUUCAACUCCGCCCAUACCCA